AGUAAUGUGCCUUACGGGAACCGUGAGAACAGGUGCUGCAUGGCUGUCGUCAGCUCGUGUUGUGAAAUGUUGGGUUAAGUCCCGCAACGAGCGCAACCCUUAUCCUUUGUUGCCAGCGGUCCGGCCGGGAACUCAAAGGAGACUGCCAGUGAUAAACUGGAGGAAGGUGGGGAUGACGUCAAGUCAUCAUGGCCCUUACGACCAGGGCUACACACGUGCUACAAUGGCGCAUACAAAGAGAAGCGACCUCGCGAGAGCAAGCGGACCUCAUAAAGUGCGUCGUANUCCGGAUUGGAGUCUGCAACUCGACUCCAUGAAGUCGGAAUCGCUAGUAAUCGUGGAUCAGAAUGCCACGGUGAAUACGUUCCCGGGUCUUGUANACACCGA
rnacentral:rRNA from 1 species